AAGAAGGGUGGUUUGGACUGAUUCAUCGUGUGUUCGACAUUGGAUGUGUUUUACUUCCUCAUUUAAUAAACCUUACGUGGCCAACCGAAUUGGAGAGAUCCAAGUGCGAACCAAACCCGAAGAAUGGCUACAUCAACAUGGAAAAUUGAACAUUUGCCGAUGAAGCAUCGCGAUCAGCUUUGGAAUCAAAUUUGCCAUGGUCGCAUCUUCACCAUAUUGCAUAACUAGAGGUCAACAUAAACCACCUGACGCCGGCUGAAACCUCUUUCAGCAAAUUCUUCACCCAACGAGUUCGAUAGAAGUUUUUAAAUCCCUCUUGGUGCUUACUCAUAACGCGUCAAAUUAAAAAAAGACAACCACUCAAAAGUUCGACUAUUGGGCCUAUAAAAGCAAGAGCUUGUCUUCUGCAAUCGCAAGUCGACCUGAAACAUUCAAUAUCAUCACAUCUCGUCCUCAUCUUCACCAAAACCAAUCACAACCAGUGCCACCAUGCAAUCCAUCGUGGUUUUCUUCACUUUAUUGGCCUUGAGCUUGGCCACCCCCAAGAAGAUGAGAACCCCCAAUGAUGGAGACCCCCGAAUACGUUGUUCUCCCCAAAGCCAAGAUCGUGGAACUCUACGAGUUUCUUAAGGCUGAGCUGGAAAGAGAUGACCUUGAUCAAAUGGAACCCGUGGAACUCAAUAUGGAACCCUGGAGCUUGACACGGAUGAACCCGCUCGUAAGAAACGAAACGCCGAGGCCAAACCCUUCUUCUGGCGUUGGCUUUUCGGAUACCGACUCAUCAUGGUUAUGGACAUCGAAGACGCUAUCAUCAUUGAGUGAUGUUCUAAAAGCACCGGACAUUCUGGGGUGCAAUUUAAGGCACCAUUUUAAGGAACUAAAUCCAGUCAUAGAAUUCGUAGAGAAGCAUCGGCUGCAAAUAAAACGCUUGAGAAAUACCAAAAAA